rnacentral:rRNA from 1 species
GAUGAACGCUGGCGGCGUGCCUAAUACAUGCAAGUCGGGCGAACGGACGAGAAGCUUGCUUCUCUGAUGUUAGCGGCGGACGGGUGAGUAACACGUGGAUAACCUACCUGUAAGACUGGGAUAACUUCGGGAAACCGGAGCUAAUACCGGACAAUAUUUUGAACCGCAUGGUUCAAAAGUGAAAGACGGUCUUGCUGUCACUUAUAGAUGGAUCCGCGCUGCAUUAGCUAGUUGGUAAGGUAACGGCUUACCAAGGCAACGAUGCAUAGCCGACCUGAGAGGGUGAUCGGCCACACUGGAACUGAGACACGGUCCAGACUCCUACGGGAGGCAGCAGUAGGGAAUCUUCCGCAAUGGGCGAAAGCCUGACGGAGCAACGCCGCGUGAGUGAUGAAGGUCUUCGGAUCGUAAAACUCUGUUAUUAGGGAAGAACAUAUGUGUAAGUAACUGUGCACAUCUUGACGGUACCUAAUCAGAAAGCCACGGCUAACUACGUG